AUACGUAGGUGGCAAGCGUUAUCCGGAUUUACUGGGCGCAAAGGGUGCGUAGGUGGUUUCUUAAGUAAGGAGUGAAAGGCUACGGCUCAAUCGUAGUAAGCUCUUGAAAUCGGGAAACUUGUGUGGAGGAGGGGAAAGUGGAAUUCCUAGAGUCGCGGUGAAAGGCGUAGAUAUUAGGAGGAACACCAGUAGCGAAGGCGGCUUUCUGGACUGUAACUGACACUGAGGCACGAAAGCGUGGGGAGCAAACAGGAUUAGAUACCCUGGUAGUCCACGCCGUAAACGAUGAGUACUAGGUGUCGGGGGUUACCCCCCUCGGUGCCGCAGCUAACGCAUUAAGUACUCCGCCUGGGGAGUACGCUCGCAAGAGUGAAACUUAAAGGAAUUGGCGGGG
rnacentral:rRNA from 1 species